UACGGGGGGGGCAAGCGUUGUUCGGAAUUACUGGGCGUAAAGGGCGCGUAGGCGGUUUGCUAAGUUGGACGUGAAAACUCUGGGCUUAACCCAGAGCCUGCAUCCAAAACUGGCAAGCUAGAGUUUUGGAGGGGGAAGCGGAAUUCCUGGUGUAGCAGUGAAAUGCGUAGAUAUCGGGAAGAACACCAAAGAGGCGAAGGCAGUUAACUAUUCUGCUCCUGACAUUGAGGCACGAAAGCGUGGGUAGCAAAGCGG
rnacentral:rRNA from 1 species